GCAUUGGUGGUUCAGUGGUAGAAUUCUUGCCUGCCAAGCAAGAGGCCUGGGUUUGUUUCCUGACCAAUGCA